rnacentral:rRNA from 1 species
CCUACGGGAGGCAGCAGUGAGGAAUAUUGGUCAAUGGGCGCAAGCCUGAACCAGCCAUGCCGCGUGCAGGAUGACGGUCCUAUGGAUUGUAAACUGCUUUUGUACGGGAAGAAACCCUCCUACGUGUAGGAGCUUGACGGUACCGUAAGAAUAAGGAUCGGCUAACUCCGUGCCAGCAGCCGCGGUAAUACGGAGGAUCCAAGCGUUAUCCGGAAUCAUUGGGUUUAAAGGGUCUGUAGGCGGUCUUGUAAGUCAGUGGUGAAAGCCCAUCGCUCAACGGUGGAACGGCCAUUGAUACUGCUGGACUUGAAUUAUUGGGAAGCAACUAGAAUAUGUAGUGUAGCGGUGAAAUGCUUAGAGAUUACAUGGAAUACCAAUUGCGAAGGCAGGUUGCUACCAAUGGAUUGACGCUGAUGGACGAAAGCGUGGGUAGCGAACAGGAUUAGAUACCCUGGUAGUCCACGCCGUAAACGAUGGAUACUAGCUGUUGGGCGCAAGUUCAGUGGCUAAGCGAAAGUGAUAAGUUCCCACAUGGGAGA